rnacentral:rRNA from 1 species
GACGAACGCUGGCGGCGUGCCUAAUACAUGCAAGUUGAGCGCUGAAGGUUGGUACUUGUUCCAACUGGAUGAGCAGCGAACGGGGGAGUAACGCGUGGGGAAUCUGCCUUUGAGCGGGGGACAACAUUUGGAAACGAAUGCUAAUACCGCAUAAAAACUUUAAACACAAGUUUUAAGUUUGAAAGAUGCAAUUGCAUCACUCAAAGAUGAUCCCGCGUUGUAUUAGCUAGUUGGUGAGGUAAAGGCUCACCAAGGCGAUGAUACAUAGCCGACCUGAGAGGGUGAUCGGCCACAUUGGGACUGAGACACGGCCCAAACUCCUACGGGAGGCAGCAGUAGGGAAUCUUCGGCAAUGGACGAAAGUCUGACCGAGCAACGCCGCGUGAGUGAAGAAGGUUUUCGGAUCGUAAAACUCUGUUGGUAGAGAAGAACGUUGGUGAGAGUGGAAAGCUCAUCAAGUGACGGUAACUACCCAGAAAGGGACGGCUAACUACGUG